AAACUGUAGUAUCCCAGAGGAUUUGGGUAUCCGUAGCUUCACUAUCACUGUUUCACACAGAGUCCCUGCUCGAGUUGAAGGCGUAAAUAUAUUGUAGCAAUUAUAGGGCAUUACUGGUUGUUACUGCCAAUUAAUUGCAUGUGUAACAGUUUACGCUAGUUUAGAGUCUUGCCUCAUUUGUGUAUUUAGCUAUCCAACAGCUGGAUGCUGCUUCUCGGCGUUUGUCGCUGUUCCUGUGUGGCACAUUGUUUAAACUGUGCUGGUUUGUAGUACAAAUAUGUAAAUAUAGCUGUCAGGGAUUAUGGGAGAUCAUCGUGCUUCUCAUGGAAGAAAGCGUGGGGCUUUGAUAAUUAGGUAUUUUAUGGGGGUUUGCUUGGUUGCUAGGACCCAGGAGUGCAAUGCGUUUCCGACAGUAGAUUUGUGAUUUGUUUAUUAAUUGCUGCCAUUGUUAAACGAUAACUGUGAAAUGUUAGCUAAAUUGACAGAUGGAAUAGAGUUGUUUCUGCACGGGAUGACGAACAUGCGAGAGAUAAUAGGAGGAGCGCCGUACUCAGAGACGCCAAACAGGCAGAGACCAACACCGAAACUACCAGGAGAUAUUACCGGAUAAUCAGCGGAAACAGAAACUUGUGUCAAUGGCUUGUGUCCCAUUCAAACGGCGACAGAUGGCACAUGGAGGAAGGGGAGGAAGAUGAGGUUGGGGAAAAGGGAAGACGUUUCAAAGAGCCCCC